rnacentral:rRNA from 1 species
AUUGAACGCUGGCGGCAGGCUUAACACAUGCAAGUCGAACGAGUGGCGGACGGGUGAGUAAUGCUUGGAAACCUGCCUAUUGGAGGGGGAUAACUAGGGGAACUGUUAGCAAAUCCCCCUUACCUUAGGUUGAGCCCAGGUGGGAUUAGGUAGUUGGUGAGGUAAAGGCUCACCAAGCCGACGAUCUCUAGCUGGUCUGAGAGGAUGACCAGCCACACUGGGACUGAGACACGGCCCAGACUCCUACGGGAGGCAGCAGUGGGGAAUAUUGCGCAAUGGGGGCAACCUGACGCAGCCAUGCCGCGUGAAUGAAGAAGGCCUUCGGGUUGUAAAGUUCUUUCGGUAGCGAGGCGUUAACUACAGAAGAAGCACCGGCUAACUCCGUGCCAGCAGCCGCGGUAAUUC